AGUGAACGCUGGCGGCGUGCUUAACACAUGCAAGUCGAACGAGAACGGAAUAUAGCUUGCUAUAUUUGUCAGCUAAGUGGCGCACGGGUGAGUAAUGUAUAGAUAACCUGCCCUGAAGAAAGGAAUAACAGUUGGAAACGAAUGCUAAUGCCCUAUAUGCCUUUGAUACAUAAGUAUGCAUGGGAAACGCUUUAGUGCUUAAGGAUGGGUCUGUAAGGUAUCAGCUUGUUGGUGAGGUAAUGGCUCACCAAGGCUAUGACGCCUAACUGGUUUGAGAGGAUGAUCAGUCACACUGGAACUGAGACACGGUCCAGACUCCUACGGGAGGCAGCAGUGGGGAAUAUUGCACAAUGGACGAAAGUCUGAUGCAGCAACGCCGCGUGGAGGAUGACACAUUUCGGUGCGUAAACUCCUUUUAUAUAGGAAGAUAAUGACGGUACUAUAUGAAUAAGCACCGGCUAACUCCGUGCCAGCAGCCGCGGUAAUAC
rnacentral:rRNA from 1 species